rnacentral:rRNA from 1 species
UACGUAGGGGGCUAGCGUUGUCCGGAUUUAUUGGGCGUAAAGAGCGUGUAGGCGGCCAGACAGGUCCGUUGUGAAAACUGGAGGCUUAACCUUCAGACGUCGAUGGAAACCGUCUGGCUAGAGUCCGGAAGAGGAGAGUGGAAUUCCUGGUGUAGCGGUGAAAUGCGCAGAUAUCAGGAAGAACACCCGUGGCUAAGGCGGCUCUCUAGUACGGUACUGACGCUGAGACGCGAAAGCGUGGGGAGCGAACAGG